rnacentral:rRNA from 1 species
GACGAACGCUGGCGGCGCGCUUAACACAUGCAAGUCGAGCGAAGCGGCGGACGGGUGAGUAACACGUGAGUAACCUGCCUUAGACAUUGGGAUAGCCUCGGGAAACCGGGAUUAAUACCAAAUGGUCUAAGAUGGACUGGCGUCCCAUUAGCUCGUUGGUGAGGUAACGGCCCACCAAGGCGACGAUGGGUAGCCGGCCUGAGGGGGGGACCGGCCCACAUGGGACUGGAGUACGGCCCAAACUCUACGGGGGGCAGGCGGGGGGGAUAUUGCGCAAAGGGGGAAACCCUGAUGCAGCGACACCGCGGGCGGGAGGACGGCCUUCGGGGUGUGAACCGCUUUCAGCCAUGACGCGGUAGUGGCAGAAGAAGCACCGGCUAACUACGUGCCAGCAGCCGCGGUAAUUC